rnacentral:rRNA from 1 species
AACGAACGCUGGCGGCAUGCCUAACACAUGCAAGUCGAACGAGACCUUCGGGUCUAGUGGCGCACGGGUGCGUAACGCGUGGGAACCUGCCUUUAGGUUCGGAAUAACUCAGAGAAAUUUGAGCUAAUACCGGAUAAUGUCUUCGGACCAAAGAUUUAUCGCCUUUAGAUGGGCCCGCGUUGGAUUAGCUAGUUGGUGGGUAAAGGCCUACCAAGGCGACGAUCCAUAGCUGGUCUGAGAGGAUGAUCAGCCACACUGGGACUGAGACACGGCCCAGACUCCUACGGAGGCAGCAGUGGGGAAUAUUGGACAAUGGGCGAAAGCCUGAUCCAGCAAUGCCGCGUGAGUGAUGAAGGCCUUAGGGUUGUAAAGCUCUUUUACCCGAGAUGAUAAUGACAGUAUCGGGAGAAUAAGCUCCGGCUAACUCCGUGCCAGCAGCCGCGGUAAUGUGACUACUG